rnacentral:rRNA from 1 species
UACGUAGGUGGCAAGCGUUGUCCGGAUUUACUGGGCGUAAAGAGCGCGCAGGCGGUCGAUCAAGUCGCGUGUGAAAGCCCCCCGGCUCAGCUGGGGGAGGGUCACGCGAUACUGAUCGACUCGAAGGCAGGAGAGGGUAGUGGAAUUCCCGGUGUAGUGGUGAAAUGCGUAGAUAUCGGGAGGAACACCAGUGGCGAAGGCGACUACCUGGCCUGUUCUUGACGCUGAGGCGCGAAAGC